rnacentral:lncRNA from 1 species
GGAGGAGACCUAGGAGCCAGCCAGCGAGCGUGGUUAGGAGGGCUCCAGAAAGGCCUGAGUCAGGCUUCUCAUAAUAAACUGCACGUGAAUAAUUCAGCACCAGCGCGCGGGGGCUCAUUGCAUUAGCGCCUCACCUUCCGGCUGAGGGGAAGGCGGGGAGGGGGGUCACUAACGCGCUUGACGAGGGAGCCAGAUAGAAGACUCCUGCCUACUAGCAUCCUGGGUUCUGCCCGGCCCAAUCCCAGGAGACUCAUUAGUCCCCCGAAUGCCUCCGGCCCCACCGGUCAGAGGGCGCCUAUUGGGCAGGGCUGUCCCAGCGAAGCCGCUCUUAAGAUCCCAGGCAAGAGAAAACAGGCAGCGGGACCAGGGCCGGAAUAGGGGAGGAAGGGGCCCGACCUGUGGGCAACUGAGCUGCGGCAAUGCCCAGUCGCGCUGAAAACGUGGGCGGAGUGGCUCUGAGCAAAGAGGAGAAGGCGGGCUCCUGUGCUCAGAGCCCGGGUGCCCAGGGGCUGCCUUCGUCUGGGCCGGGAUUUUCCUUGUGCUCAGAAUGGGGCUCCAGGGACGCUGAGGGACUUUUCACCCACGGUGGAUCCCCAGGUUGUGCUUCUUCCCCCACCCCACCCCCACUGACCCACCCACCCAUAGACCCGGGCGGCAGCCCACCCUCGUGCCCCCACCUCGCGUCAGCCGGCGCUGAAAGGAGCACCGGAGGCCCGCUAGGCCUGUUGUUCUCCGACUCUGCGACCCCAUGGACUGCAGCAGGCCAGGCUUCCCUGUCCUUCACCAUCUCCUGGAGCUUGCUCAAAUUCAUGUCCAUUGAGUCGGUGUUGCCAUCCAACGAUCUCCUGCUCUGUUGUCCCCUUCUCCUCCUGCCUUCAGUCUUUCCCAGAAUCGGGGUCUUGUCUAAAUGCACACCACCUUCAGCCUUAUUUCGUUUGAGCAGAGCCAGCUUCCUCUGGCUUUUCCACUUUCCACCAGCCCCUGGGUUUCUGAUCUUGAGGGUUUGCAUUCAUCCCGUCCAACAUCCACUGUCGCUUGAUUCCUCCGGCUCUUCUCCAGAACCGUUCACUUCCAGGCAGUCGGCCCCGCCCUCUCUCCAUCAGCCUCCCCACUCCUACGAAGUGAACCUCGGGCCGCUGGAGACCCUCGAGCUGACACCAGUGGCCCUUCGGGGCCGGCGCGACCGAGGCCCCCGUCUGGUCUCCGGAGGUCUUGGGCAGCCCGACGAGAAGUCCGGCCGAAGGCACCUCGCGUCCCUCCCUCCCUGCUUAUCCCUCCUUCCCUGCCUUAUCCCUCCUUCCACCCCAGCAGAAUCCUCGUCUUCUGCCGCCGCCUCCUCCUCUUCCUCCGUCUCUACGCAUUUGUUUUUCUUGGUUGGGUGCCUUGGGCUUCCGGAGGCCAGGCCGCUGGGGACCAGGCAGGCUGGGGUGUCUUUGCAGAGGCAAGUGAGGACUGAUGGCACCUGGACCCCAGACGGCUCCACCACUGCCCCUCAGUGUGUUCUUGGCUGA